AUACCUUUCUCAGCCUUUGGGCUAAUAUUAAGUGUAUUAUCUCUUAUCAAAUUCAUCUUUGAUAUGUUGCUACUGUGGCUUUCAUUUGUCGCUCAUGCGGUGCACUACUGCAUGGGCCUGGCGCACCCCUU
rfam:Glycine soja cultivar W05 scaffold975_77, whole genome shotgun sequence.